rnacentral:tRNA from 1 species
GAGGGCUUAAUAAAAUUAUUAUACUGCUUUGUCAAGGCAGAAUUGUGAGUUAGACCCUCACAUCUCUCU